rnacentral:rRNA from 1 species
GAUGAACGCUGGCGGCGUGCCUAAUACAUGCAAGUCGAGCGAACGGACGAGAAGCUUGCUUCUCUGAUGUUAGCGGCGGACGGGUGAGUAACACGUGGAUAACCUACCUAUAAGACUGGGAUUACUUCGGGAAACCGGAGCUACUACCGGAUAAUAUUUUGAACCGCAUGGUUCAAAAGUGAAAGACGGUCUUGCUGUCACUUAUAGAUGGAUCCGCGCUGCAUUAGCUAGUUGGUAAGGUAACGGCUUACCAAGGCAACGAUGCAUAGCCGACCUGAGGGGGUGAAGGGCCACACUGAGACUGAGACACGGUACAGACACCGACGGGAGGCAGAAGUAGGGAAGCUUCCGAAAUGGGCGAAAGACUGAAGGAGGAACGCAGCGUGAGUGAUGAAGGUCUGCGGAUCGGAAAACGCUGUUAGUAGGGAAGAACAUAUGUGUAAGUAACUGUGCACAUCUUGACGGUACCUAAUAAGAAAGCCACGGCUAACUACGUG